UGAACGCUGGCGGCAGGCCUAACACAGGCAAGUCGAGCGGAUGAAGGGAGCUUGCUCCUGGAUUCAGCGGCGGACGGGUGAGUAAUGCCUAGGAAUCUGCCUGGUAGUGGGGGAUAACGUCCGGAAACGGGCGCUAAUACCGCAUACGUCCUGAGGGAGAAAGUGGGGGAUCUUCGGACCUCACGCUAUCAGAUGAGCCUAGGUCGGAUUAGCUAGUUGGUGGGGUAAAGGCCUACCAAGGCGACGAUCCGUAACUGGUCUGAGAGGAUGAUCAGUCACACUGGAACUGAGACACGGUCCAGACUCCUACGGGAGGCAGCAGUGGGGAAUAUUGGACAAUGGGCGAAAGCCUGAUCCAGCCAUGCCGCGUGUGUGAAGAAGGUCUUCGGAUUGUAAAGCACUUUAAGUUGGGAGGAAGGGCAGUAAGUUAAUACCUUGCUGUUUUGACGUUACCAACAGAAUAAGCACCGGCUAACUUCGUG
rnacentral:rRNA from 1 species